CCUCUCACCCCUGCGCUGCGGGGAGGGCCCAGCCAGCCGGGCCUUUCAGAGUUAAUUAGCCUUCAUGAAUAUGGAUGCCACCGCCGAUUGAAUACGGUUGAGAGGUCAUAACCUGACCCCGGCGAGGCGUGCAUAAAGAAAAGACUACUUUUCUCGGCUCGGUCCCUAAUUGAAAGCCGAGUUGUCAGGCGCUGCGCCGUGGGUGUGAUCGCCGCCGCCCCGCUUCUCCCGCAGAAGAAACACUUCGCGGGGCCGCUCUCCCCGGCGCCCGGCCCCCAUUAGCAGUCCCUCUAAUGACCUGCAGGUCUGUGCAGGCCGCCCCGCCACCGUCCCCCUGCAAUGUCGCCCUAAUGAUAUCUGCGCUGGGAAUUCAUUCCGAAGCGUUCCUUUUCCACGAUGGUUUUCAUUUCCUGUCAUUUAGAGCUGGAAGCAUUUAUGGAAUAUCACAUGGUUUUCGUUUACACAGGAAAUCAGCUGCAGUUGUGAGAAGAUACCGACUUACUUUUGGUGUUUGUUUUUGGAAAUCCACCCCCGAACUGAGAGGUGGGGGGUGGAGGAAGAGAGAAAACUAACGUGUAGCAUUUUCUUGGGAAACAGUUUUCCUUUUUGAUCCAGAGUCCCUGUUCUCCCGAGUGGUCUGUGAUUAUUCAGAAAGCAGCGGUUUAUUUCUGACACGUGGUAAUCACUUUAUGCGAAGAAAGCCCAGCCAGAAGAAGAGACGCUUUUGCUUUUCGCAGAGCGGAGGCGGGAGCGGCGGGCCCGGCGGGCGCGGGGGCGCGCAGCUGUGCCCAAGCCCCGCCCAAACCCCGCCUCCCGACCUCCGCGCGGGACCAGCCCGGUGGUGGGGGUGGCGGGGGUCCGUGGGCCCUGCGGUCCUCGCAGCGCUGGCCGCACCUUCCGGGCACCACGGCCCUUGCUGCCCCGGCCACUCGCUGGCACCGCUCCGCUUGGACCCGAAAAGAGCGGUGUCUUGCGCCCACCCCCUUCACCCCAAGGACCUUGCCGAGUCGGGCCGUUCUUGACCCAGCCGCGACCCAUCACCCCAGGAACCAGAGAACUGCAGGAGCUGACAACAGAGAUGCGGACUAAUGUGGGAGAGUUUGCGAUUUGUUCUUUAGGCUCCGCCCUCCGGUGGUCACUGAGUUACAGACUCCAGACUCGCCGCACCCCACAAAGACGGCACUCUCUAGUGACACCCCCCGCCCCGCUUCCUUCCCCAGUGUGGCUCCAGCGACUUCUCCCUUUUCCGCCCGGGUUCGGAGGGCAACUAGACGGCCCUGGGCAAUAGCGCCACCUUGUGGGCAUCUCCUCUGCACACGUCUCCUCCGAUCCUUGGCCAGGAUGCUGAACAAUCCCUGCGUGGAAUGGAGACUGCCUUAACAGAUCCAGGGGCCCCAAAACGGAUCCAGGGCUGCAGAGGAACCCCCACCAGGAUUUGUAGUGGAAAUGGUCUCUAUCCCUAGAAUGAGCUGCAAACAGGAUGACAGGUUCUCCUUUCGUGUCAUGUACCAAGACAUUCCACAGUAAGAAACCCAUUCUUAUGAUUUAAGGCUGACCCCCACUCCAACAAAAUGGAAAAUGUCCUAGUAGAGAUAGGAUUUAGGCACUUGUUUCAGAGUGAACUGGUUUGUUACCUUUUCUCAAGGGUAAGAAGGCUCCUAGAGAAGGGAGAAAGCAAAGAGCAGGAGUCCCCCCUUCCCCCUUCCAUGUCCAAGAGGGGCAGGAGCCAGCCCUGUGACCACCCUUCGAGGGCAGGGGGCAGGGAUCACCCAUAUGGUGAGACUAGAGGGUGAUGAGAUGGUGCCUGUGGGAGACAGGGUGGGACAGAGUCCUGUGCACAUUUCGGGGGUGGUAAGGGAGCCUUCAAAGAAUAAUGAGUCCCCCUCGGGCCCCCAGUACCCAGGUGUCCCUCUAUGGUUGCUGGUUAUCUCUGGCAGCUGAGUCCCAUUUAAUGGAGACUCUCAGACAGCCUCACUAAGGCCAUCCUCUUCCGCUGCUCUCCCCCGCCUCUGUAGCCCGUAAAACCAACAGCCAUCUGUGUGAACAUGAGCCCCACGUUUUUAUAGUCUGUCUACUGGCGGCUGCAGGACAAGUAGGGGACAAAAGCUUCUUGCUCCAGCCCUUUCUGUCUCCAGUAUUAAACUGUGUAACACGACCUGUGCUCGGAAACCAAAUAUUCGAGAGGACACCCAGAAGCCACCUGGCUACCACAUCUCUUGAUCAGGCGGGUCACUGGUGAUGUGAAAAUCCCACCUGGGGAAUUUUCUGGGCUUCUGAGAGGUCAGCAGGCAAAGCUCCCUCCCAUGGUACAGGGAGCCUGGCCUCCCGGCUGUCACAGGCAUGUUCCAGAUCUCGGGGUGUGCAGACUCUGUCUCAGUGGGGCCUGGGAGCGGACUGGGGGAGAUGCUGCUCCUUUCCACAGCAGGUGGUUCUGGUCUCCGUCUGAGGCUCUCCCACCUCUUUCCUCCCAGGAACUGCGUUCACCUCAUGUUGCUUGUUACCUAACUGAUGAACUAUCAGAGUCAGCGUGGUGCUUCUCUGAGGCUCUCCAGCUCUGCACUAGCUGGGCCCCCGAGGAGCUCCUGAGAGCAGCCCAUGGCAGGCCCAACGCACUGAUCUGGUAUAUUCUGAGAUCCAUCUUCUCGCUCUCUUGUCUCUCUCUCUCUCUGUCUUCCACACAGCGCUCCUCUUUUUUUCUCCUCUCUCUCUGGAAGUAUGGAGUUUAUUGGCCUCUGCUGGAGGGAAAAACAAUCACAAACUUAAUUACUGUAAGAUCCAAACCCUGCCUGGCUGUUUUUGGUUUCAGGGUGGUUCCCAGUGAAUCACUAGGGCACACCCUCUCUCAGCUUAGGGCUCUUCUGGGUCCCGUUGGCUUGACCACCUGGAAAAUGGGAGGAUUUUCUGAAGGAAGGGCAAGUUUUGAAAGGAAAAACCAGAUGCCUGAGAGCUUCUCUGUCUCCCAACCCCACAGGGGCCCAAGCCAAGCCCAGUCUCACAGGAGAGGGCUGGCAGGAGGCUGUGGCCUCUCCCAGAGAGCGCCUUCCCCUGAAAAGGUGUGGGAGCCACGGAAUUCUUUCUCAAUUUCGGUCUUCGGAAUAUCGUGCACUAGACUUGAAGAGCUGCUCCUAAAGAAGCUCCUGGACAGACCUGCCUGAGGUCACAUGUGGAAGGGCAGAGGCAGUUACUGAAGAACCACACUCGGGCCUCAGGACACCAAGGAGCCUGUGGUGAGACGCCGCUCCCCAGACAGGCGGCCAUCGAGACCCAGUGCUUCGUCCGCUCCCUCCCAGAAAUUCCCCUUCUCUGCUCUACAGCUGUCAGAAACCUUAACUAACUGAAGGAAAUGGAUUCUAUUGCACACAAUCAUAAUUGCCUCCAGUGAAACAAUAAAAAAAAU